rnacentral:rRNA from 1 species
AGCGAACGCUGGCGGCAGGCCUAACACAUGCCAGUCGAACGAACCUUUCGGGGUUAGUGGCGGACGGGUGAGUAACACGUGGGAACGUGCCUUUAGGUUCGGAAUAACUCAGGGAAACUUGUGCUAAUACCGAAUGUGCCCUUCGGGGGAAAGAUUAAUCGCCUUUAGAGCGGCCCGCGUCUGAUUAGCUAGUUGGUUGAGGUAAUGGCUCACCAAGGCGACGAUCAGUAGCUGGUCUGAGAGGAUGAUCAGCCACAUUGGGACUGAGACACGGCCCAAACUCCUACGGGAGGCAGCAGUGGGGAAUCUUGCGCAAUGGGCGAAAGCCUGACGCAGCCAUGCCGCGUGAAUGAUGAAGGUCUUAGGAUUGUAAAAUUCUUUCACCGGGGACGAUAAUGACGGUACCCGGAGAAGAGGCCCCGGCUAACUUCGUG